rnacentral:rRNA from 1 species
CCUACGGGGGGCUGCAGUGGGGAAUAUUGGACAAUGGGGGGAACCCUGAUCCAGCCAUGCCGCGUGUGUGAAGAAGGCCCUCGGGUUGUAAAGCACUUUCAGUGAGGAAGAACGCCUGGUGGUUAAUACCCAUCAGGAAAGACAUCACUCACAGAAGAAGCACCGGCUAACUCCGUGCCAGCAGCCGCGGUAAUACGGAGGGUGCGAGCGUUAAUCGGAAUUACUGGGCGUAAAGCGCGCGCAGGUGGCUUGAUAAGCCGGUUGUGAAAGCCCCGGGCUCAACCUGGGAACGGCAUCCGGAACUGUCAAGCUAGAGUGCAGGAGAGGAAGGUAGAAUUCCCGGUGUAGCGGUGAAAUGCGUAGAGAUCGGGAGGAAUACCAGUGGCGAAGGCGGCCUUCUGGACUGACACUGACACUGAGGUGCGAAAGCGUGGGUAGCAAACAGGAUUAGAUACCCUUGUAGUC